rnacentral:rRNA from 1 species
AUUGAACGCUGGCGGCAUGCUUUACACAUGCAAGUCGAACGGUAACAGGUUAAGCUGACGAGUGGCGAACGGGUGAGUAAUGCAUCGGAACGUGCCCGGUCGUGGGGGAUAACGCAGCGAAAGCUGCGCUAAUACCGCAUACGAUCUGAGGAUGAAAGCGGGGGACCGUAAGGCCUCGCGCGAUCGGAGCGGCCGAUGUCAGAUUAGGUAGUUGGUGGGGUAAAGGCCUACCAAGCCGACGAUCCGUAGCUGGUCUGAGAGGACGACCAGCCACACUGGGACUGAGACACGGCCCAGACUCCGACGGGAGGCAGCAGUGGGGAAUUUUGGACAAUGGGCGCAAGCCGGAUCCAGCAAUGCCGCGUGCAGGAAGAAGGCCUUCGGGUUGUAAACUGCUUUUGUACGGAGCGAAAAGGCUCUCUCUAAUACAGGGGGCUCAUGACGGUACCGUAAGAAUAAGCACCGGCUAACUACGUGCCAGCCGCCGCUGUAA